CGGCAGCUACCACAGGCCAGGCGCUGUGCCAAGGGCUUUGCACGUGUCCUCUCCCUGAACCAUGAAGACAGCCCUCUGAGGUUGGUAUUAUUCCUGUUUUUUUUUUUUUUUUAUUCCUGUUUUAAAGCAGAGGGCACUGAGGCUUAGGCAAGUGCUGUGAGGUGCCCAAGGGUAAAGGGCCAGCAAGUGAUGGGGCUGAAAUAUAAGCCAAUGUGUCUGACUGUGAUUCUAACAUGCUCUCUGCAGCACUGACCUGUCUCUCCCUUCCUUUGGGCUUUUCCCAAAUCUCCAACAGGUUCAAGCUUUGCUUGACAUCCAGUCACUCUCCCCACUUUCCGCUUGAUGGAGCAGGUCUACACCCGCUGUGGCUUCUCAACAUCAGGGGAACUGACUCAACACCCGAUGCGUGCACGUGUUUUUCACAAGGGAAGCUGGGAGGUACAAUCUCUGUACAAGAUAAUCUCUGGCAUCGUCACACUUGAGAAGCUGAAGAAGCUGUGAAGUCACCAUCACCCAUUCCAAAAUCCUAAGCCUAAGAGAAGCCAAUGACGAAAUUCUUGUGACAUCGCAAAACAGAUCAAUGGUGGUGAAAAUGCGUGACAUAUACAGGUGCCAUGGGACCUACCUCAUUGAUAAGUGUACUGUGAAUUGUGUUCAGCUCAAGGCUUCCUCCCACAGUGGAAGCACCUCCUCUUCUCAGAGGCUCCAUGACCCCAUCCCAUUCAUAAACCAGAGCCUGAGCUUAUGAAUGAAUCACACACAGAGCUGAGAAGUCUCACAGAGAGGACUCCUGACCCUCUGCCCUCACUCCAUCCCCCCUACAAUCUAAUUCAUCAAAUCUGGUUACUGGUUUCAAGUCUAACUUUAAGUUAAUUUUGGAUAUACUACUUCUCACUCCAAAGUAGAAAAGAGCUGGAGUGCUUCCUAGUUAGAGGAAAUAAUCAUGGAAGUGUUUCUUAGAGUUAAUCAAAGGUACUCUUCUUUCCUAUAUUAAAA
rnacentral:lncRNA from 1 species